rnacentral:rRNA from 1 species
UAAGACGAACCGUCCUAACGUUAUUCGGAAUUACUGGGCUUAAAGCGCGUGUAGGCGGGGAGGCACGUCUGUCGCUUAAAUCCCACGGCUCAACCGUGGAACUGGCGUAGAUACGACCCCCCUGGAGGGGUGUAGGGGGACCUGGAACUUCCGGUGGAGCGGUGAAAUGCGUUGAGAUCGGAAGGAACGCCCGUGGCGAAAGCGAGGUCCUGGACACUUUCUGACGCUGAGACGCGAAAGCCAGGGGAGCAAACGGGAUUAGAUACCCCGGUAGUCCUGGCCGUAAACGAUGAGCACUGGGUAGGGGGCUCGCCGAUGGGCUCCCUGCCGCAGGGAAACCGUGAAGUGCUCCGCCUGGGGAGUAUGGUCGCAAGGCUG